rnacentral:rRNA from 1 species
GACGAACGCUGGCGGCGUGCUUAACACAUGCAAGUCGAACGGAAAGGCCCUGCUUUUGUGGGGUGCUCGAGUGGCGAACGGGUGAGUAACACGUGAGUAACCUGCCCUUGACUUUGGGAUAACUUCAGGAAACUGGGGCUGAUACCGGAUAUGAGCUCCUGCUGCAUGGUGGGGGUUGGAAAGUUUCGGCGGUUGGGGAUGGACUCGCGGCUUAUCAGCUUGUUGGUGGGGUAGUGGCUUACCAAGGCUUUGACGGGUAGCCGGCCUGAGAGGGUGACCGGCCACAUUGGGACUGAGAUACGGCCCAGACUCCUACGGGAGGCAGCAGUGGGGAAUAUUGCACAAUGGGCGGAAGCCUGAUGCAGCAACGCCGCGUGCGGGAUGACGGCCUUCGGGUUGUAAACCGCUUUCGCCUGUGACGAAGCGUGAGUGACGGUAAUGGGUAAAGAAGCACCGGCUAACUACGUG